ensembl:snoRNA
AUUGAUGUCUCUGCUGAUGGGCCUCCAGUAGCCAAAUAUUGGAAACACCUUACAGUGUAACUCUGUGGUUUUAAUUUAUUUACAGGAUUAUUUCUAGGUUUGUCAGAAGGAACUACAAGGCAGGU